rnacentral:ncRNA from 1 species
CAAGCAGUGGAGCAUGUGGUUUAAUUCGCAUUGAAUCUUAUCAGGACUUGAAAUGUCGUGAAUUCUCUUGAAAGAGAGAGGUGCCUUCGAAAUGCAGACAAAGAUGGUGCAUGACUAUCGUCAGCUCGUAUAGUAAGGUGUUGGAUUAAGUCCCGCAACGAGACCUUAGCAGGGCUUGACAUGCCGUGAAUUCUUUUGAAAGGGAGGGGUGCCUUCGGGAACGUGGGUACGGAUGGUGCAUGGCUGUUGUCAGUUCGUGCGUAAGGUGUUGGGUAGAGGGGUGCCUUCGGGAACACGGACAAAGAUGGUGCAUGACUGUUGUCAGUUCGUGGCGUAAGGUACCUCGUGUUUUAUUGCGAUCAUUGAAUUUUGAAUCCUGGACAGAUUGCCGAUGAUAAGCCAGCGGAAUGUGAGGAUGACGUCAAGUCAUCAUGCCCCUUAUGCCUAGGGCGACACACGUGCUACAGUGGAUGGGACAAAGGGUCAUGAUCUUGCGAGGGUGAGCUAGCUCCAAAAAUCUGUCUGCAGUUCGGAUUGCAGACAGCAACUCGCCAGCAUGAAGCCGGAGUCUGAAGGAAAUUUCAGAUUGGAUCUCUGAAAUCAGUCAG